rnacentral:rRNA from 1 species
GCGCCGUGUGGGAGCAGAGAGCUAGGAGAAGAAAGGGUUCUUUGGGAUCCAGUUCGCGACGGCGGAGGGAGAAGGAAGGAGAGGGGCUAGGUCUAGGGAGGAGACGGCGGGGAGGAGGGUAGGUGGUGGGGAGGACAAGGUCAGCGGGGGCGUCGUCGGUGCCGGCCUACCGAACGACCACACGCACACGAAGAUACGCGCGGCGAAGCAGUAAGGGGUGGGAUCGUCAGCUAGGGUCGACGGCGACGAAGUGGCCGGAGGAGCUAGAGAGGACGCCGGUGAUCACUGGUGGGUUGAGGUGAGAGCUAGGGGUUUCCGUUUCCGUCUCGGUCGGCGGCCGCCGGAGGCAACAGAAGGGGUUGGGGCCGGAAGUGAGGUAGCAACCGCGGGAGAGGGGAAGAGAGGGAGAGGCAUCUAGGAGAGCUCGUUGCAACGGGUGCCGGUCUAGGCGAGGGAGGAGCGGCGGCGGUGGGUGGCGGGGCAGACUGGAGCAGCGGCCGGCGGCCAGGGCGAGAGAAGGGGGGUGUGGGCGGCGGGGGAGGGAGAGGAGGAGGGUAGUCUUCUCUUCUCCCUAGAGCGCGCCUAGCGUGGUCUCGUAGCUAGACCUGGAGGCAGACGUGCUCCCCUGCCGACGCAGAGCAGGAGCAGGGUGGAGUCCGCCCCAGGUCUAGCUCGGCCUGAGCGCAGCAGCAGUUCUCGGCUGGAGCUGCCUCUGCUCUCCUUCGGAAGAAGGAAGCAGAAGGAAGCUGGAGCCGUACAGCGAGGGGUCGAUGAGGCUGAGACGGUUCCAACGGAUGCAGGAGGUCCGCACACCUCGAAGACAUUCUCUCCAGUGUUCUAAACACGGCCCUAGGAACUUGACAUAGAACUCAACUUCACGGACGGAUAAAGGAGGAGAAAAACCGACCUACGAAAAACCUGAAGGUCAUAGCGUACAAACAAGAAAACUUGUCUUCUAAUUCCCCAAGUUCCUACGGCUCUGAUCAUAUCAUGAUUGACACUUUGGUCUAGAAAAAAAGUACGUACGCUGACACUCUGAAAAGACUCAACAUCUACCAGCGCCUACUUAUAUGGAACAACCCAAGUCUGAGAUCAAAUCUACCUUCUCCGAACUCGACCCUACUCACUCUCUAACGAUAAAGUAGACGACCUCUAUCUAACUCUCUCUCCCCACGACUAAUCACAUCAGACACUAACUCUCUUACGAACGACGACGAUAAAUACGAAUGACUAACUAAUAUGUCACUAAUACGACGAUAAACAUGAACAACUACAAUAACAACGGUAGGCUACGUAUAACAACACUAGGUAUCGAAUGACGGAACGGACGUUCACAGUACGACCGCUGGCCCAAGCCUCGCGAGCCUAGCUUCCACCAGCUCGUGACCAUGCUCGAGAUGUUCUACCUGUUCGUCCCCCGGUUGGAGACCAUGCCAAGUAGAUGACCACCCUCCUUUUCCAGAGUCCAGGUACUGUAGAGGGACUUGGUGAUGAGUUACACCUCAGCUACUUCGUGAUGUGGACCGAACGAGCGGCCGCGCGCACACGCACGAAGCUACGCGCCGCGAAGUAGCACGACCGGCCUGGCCCCGUUAGCGGUCUCGGCCUCGGCCUCCUCGGCUGCUCCACGACGACGACCCCGACGCAGGAACCUCCGACGACGACGGGGAGCGGCUGGAGUGGUUGGAGGCCGCAGGCGGUACUCGAGGCGCGUCCUGGGGAAGAAGUAACAGGCCCUCCUCUAGGUCCCGAGCCAAAAUCGCUAGUCGGCAGAAAGUAGUUUCCACGUACCACGUUGCCUCCUGUUCGCGAAGUACAGGUUGGUUCCACGUACCACGAGCGUUAACUACUUGUCCUCCAGAUGCUUUAAACUUCAAGCUUCGGUCUAUCGGGAUGAGUCGUUUCUCAGCAGAGAAAACAAACUGACAUUAUCUGACAUUUACAACAAUAUAACAUUAACAUCCGUAUAAACCCAACAAUAUCUGAUACAUGUCUAACAUCAUCUGAAUCGCAAUCAACUACUUGAUGUAAACAUUACAAGACAAACUUUAUAACUAAUACAUACACUAAACUUUUACACACCUUACCUUUGGACUGAACACCCUGGGUAAAUACUUUUAUUAAACUCG